rnacentral:rRNA from 1 species
GAUGAAUGCUGGCGGCGUGCCUAACACAUGCAAGUCGAGCGGCAGCGCGAGUAGUUUACUACUUGGCGGCGAGCGGCGGACGGCUGAGUAACGCGUGGGAACAUACCCCAAAGUGAGGGAUAACCGCUCGAAAGGGUGGCUAAUACCGCAUAUGGUCUUCGGAUUAAAGGAUUUAUCCGCUUUGGGAAUGGCCUGCGUACGAUUAGAUAGUUGGUGAGGUAAUGGCUCACCAAGUCGACGAUCGUUAACUGGUCUGAGAGGAUGAUCAGUCAGACUGGAACUGAGACACGGUCCAGACUCCUACGGGAGGCAGCAGUGAGGAAUCUUCCACAAUGGGCGAAAGCCUGAUGGAGCAACGCCGCGUGCAGGAUGAAGGCCUUCGGGUUGUAAACUGCUUUUAUAAGUGAAGAAUAUGACGGUAACUUAUGAAUAAGCACCGGCUAACUACGUGCCAGCAGCCGCAGUAA